GUGCGGUCAAAAAAAUAGUUUUUUUGAACCUUGGCUAUGCCGACAUUCCCGAAAAGAAAAACGAUCCGUUAUACGGAUUGCAGAUACUUUUCCAUGAU
rnacentral:ncRNA from 1 species